rnacentral:rRNA from 1 species
GACGAACGCUGGCGGUGUGCUUCACACAUGCAAGUCGAACGAGGUAGCAAUACCUAGUGGCGGACGGGUGAGUAACGCGUGGGAAUCUGCCUUUAGAUGGGGGAUAACGGGUCGAAAGACUCGCUAAUACCGCAUAUGACGAAAGUUGAAAGGAGUAAUCCGUCUAAAGAUGAGCCCGCGUCCGAUUAGCUAGUUGGUAGAGUAAAAGCCUACCAAGGCGACGAUCCGGUAGCUGGUCUGAGAGGAUGAUCAGCCACAAUGGGACUAGAGACACGGCCCAUACUCCUACGGGAGGCAGCAGUGGGGAAUUUUACGCAAUGGGCGAAAGCCUGACGUAGCGACACCGCGUGAGCGAAGAAGCCCCUUGGGGUGUAAAGCUCUGUCAGCUGGAACGAAAAAAUAGACGGUACCAGCAGAGGAAGCAAUCGGCUAACUACGUGCCAGCAG